GACAGAGGGUGCGAGCGUUAAUCGGAAUGACUGGGCGUAAAGGGUGCGUAGGCGGUUAGUUGCGUGGAUGGUGAAAGACCUGGGCUUAACCUGGGGUGACGAUUCAAACGGGCUAACUGGAGUGAGGUAGAGGGGGGUGGAAUUUCCGGUGUAGCGGUGAAAUGCGUAGAUAUCGGAAAGAAGACCGGUGGCGAAGGCGGCCCCUGGGCCUUUACUGACGCUGAGGCACGAAAGCAUGGGUAGCGAACAGG
rnacentral:rRNA from 1 species